rnacentral:rRNA from 1 species
CGCCUGUUUAUCAAAAACAUCUCUUCUCGUUAGUUUUUGAAGUAUGGCCUGCCCACUGACCUUGAAUGUUGAAGGGCCGCGGUAUUUUGACCGUGCAAAGGUAGCAUAGUCAUUAGUUCUUUAAUUGUGAUCUGGUAUGAAUGGCUUGACGAGGCAUGAGCUGUCUUAAUUUUGAAUUGUUUAUUGAAUUUGGUCUUUGAGUUAAAAUUCUUAGAUGUUUUUAUGGGACGAGAAGACCCUAUAGAGUUUAACAUUUAUUAUGGUCUCUUUCUGUUUGUGAGGGUUCAUUAGGGCUGUUUAAUAUGUUUUGUUGGGGUGAUGGGAGGGAUAUUAUUUAACCCCUCCUUUGUGUUGUUAUAUUUAUUUAUAUUUGCUUGAUCCAUUUAUUUUGAUUGUAAGAUUAAAUUACCUUAGGGAUAACAGCGUAA